GACGAACGCUGGCGGCGUGCCUAACACAUGCAAGUCGAGCGAAGUUUAUUUAGCAGCGACUUCGGUCAAAGCUGAUUAAACUUAGCGGCGAACGGGUGAGUAACACGUAGGCAACCUGCCCAUGACACGGGGAUAGCUUCGGGAAACCGGAGGUAAUACCCGAUACCUUUACUUAUUGCAUGAUAAGUAAAGAAAGCGAAUAGCGGUCAUGGAUGGGCCUGCGUCCCAUUAGCUAGUUGGUGAGAUAACAGCCCACCAAGGCGACGAUGGGUAGCCGACCUGAGAGGGUGACCGGCCACACUGGAACUGAGACACGGUCCAGACUCCUACGGGAGGCAGCAGUGGGGAAUCUUGCGCAAUGGGCGAAAGCCUGACGCAGCGACGCCGCGUGAGCGAAGAAGGCCUUGGGUCGUAAAGCUCAGUCAUGGGGAUGAGAUGACAGUACCCAAGGAGGAAGCCCCGGCUAACUACGUGCCAGCAGCCGCGGUAAAAU
rnacentral:rRNA from 1 species